UGGGGAAUCUUGCGCAAUGGCCGAAAGGCUGACGCAGCGACGCCGCGUGGGGGAUGAAGGUUUUCGGAUCGUAAACCCCUGUUGCCCGGGACGAACAGCUUCUUUCGAGGAGCCUGACGGUACCGGGUGAGGAAGCACCGGCUAACUCUGUGCCAGCAGCCGCGGUAAUACAGAGGGUGCGAGCGUUGUCCGGAAUCACUGGGCGUAAAGGGCGCGUAGGUGGCGGGGUAAGCGUGUGGUGAAAGCUCGGAGCUCAACUCCGAGUCGGCCAUGCGAACUGCUUCGCUGGAGCACUGUAGAGGCAGAUGGAAUUCCGGGUGUAGCGGUGGAAUGCGUAGAGAUCCGGAAGAACACCGGUGGCGAAGGCGGUCUGCUGGGCAGUUGCUGACACUGAGGCGCGACAGCGUGGGGAGCAAACAGG
rnacentral:rRNA from 1 species